GUUUCGAAAACAUGGCGUCGUCCGAGAAUUACAAAAAAAUCGUUGGGUUUUGUUUUAUUUGCAAGGCAAUUUACGACAAGGAAAAUCAUAAAGUUUCCACAUUUGGUGUAAAUAAAAGUAACGCACAAUCUUGGCAGCAAAAAGUAGUGGGUAUUAAUGUUGGGGACAAAUUGUGUCAGAAACAUUUUGAUCCACAAGAUAUUCUCAAAGGAACAUUUGUGCUGAACUACUUAUGUCCGUACAAAACGUGGAGGCUUGCUGAAAAUACAACCCCAAAAUACUACCUCACAUCACAGAAACCCAGCAAGCGUAAGGCACUGGUCGACAAAAUUGAAAAAUUCAUCUGCAUAAAAAAUAAAGCACAGAGAUGCAAAAGUUAUGACUAAUCCCUCUCCAAAACUAACAUUGUGAACGAAGCAAAAAAGAAGCAAGACCUCCGAAGAAGGAACCACAAUAAUCAAUCAAGAUGUUUCAUUAUCAUUAGAUUCGUUUCCCAGUUCUUCUGACAGUGGAAAUGUUUUACCAUCUUCUGCAUUGCGUUGUGCAGCCAGAGUUGCCGCGAGCGAUUGAUUGAUCGAGAGCGAUUGAGCGAUCGCUCGUUUUUUUGCGAGCGAGAUCGAGCGAUUGAUCGCACCAAUUUAUCGAGAGCGAGAUCAAGAGCGAAUGGUGUUGAGCGAUAUCGAUCGUAACUUCAGCGCCAUCUAGCGGUCGCAAUUAAAAGAUCUGUAAAAACGUUGAACGGUUGCCUUUUUCCGUUGUAACAUGUAAGAAGUGGUCUGCCAUUGAAGACGCCACUUUAAUUGACAGUUUUUCUAGCAAACGAACAAUUAUGAGAUGGAUCCCACGCCUUCCACAUCAAAAGAUGACCCUGUUAUUGAUUUAACUGAAACUGAAAGUCAAGAUAAAAACUCAAACUCUUCAGGGAAGUCAGGAACGAAAAUUUGUAAUUGUUUUGAUGGACAGUGGAGUCAUUCCAGAAAUACAAUGUUUUGGUGAGCGAUUUGAGCAAUAUCGAUCAGCGAUUGAUCACUUCAUAAACGAUCGAGCGAUUGGAGCGAAUUGACCAUAAAUUUCAAGUGAUCAAGAGCGAGAGCGUUGAUCACCAAAUGGUGAGCGAACGGCAACUCUGUGUGCAGCUACGUUAACACCAGCGGCCUCAACUCUAGAUCAGCUUAUUGAUGAUUCGCCAUGCACGCCAACGCCGUCAUCUGAUAAUCAAACUGCAUUGGAUUGUGCAGCUACUGUAAAGGGAUCAUGGAUUUACUCAUUCUUCCCUUUACGGAAUAAUUAAAUUAAAAGCGGUUUAAAUAAAUAAAAAGAAGACGGCUGA